rnacentral:rRNA from 1 species
GUCCACGCCGUAAACGUUGAAUACUCGAUCUUAGCGAUACACAGUUAGGAUCCAAGCGCAAGCGUUAAGUAUUCCACCUGGGAAGUACGAUCGCAAGAUUGAAACUCAAAGGAAUUGACGGGGGCCCGCACAAGCGGAGGAGCAUGUGGUUUAAUUCGAUGAUACGCGAGGAACCUUACCUGGGCUUGAAUGUGAGUGACCGAUGCCGAAAGGUGUCUUCCCUUCGGGGCACAAAACAAGGUGCUGCAUGGCUGUCGU